UAAAGAGAAAGAAAAAAAUUAUUCAACAUUUACAAAUACGACCGACCGUCCCUAGAGCAAGUGGCAAAGGACUUGGUGGUUGGUACCCGAGACCGAAAUUCGAAUCCUAGUUGAUUCACAUUUCUAGUUAAGUUUAUUUCUAAAUGAAAUAAACGAAGCGGGUAGCGUGCUACCUAUCUCUCUAAAAAAAAAACAUUUACAAAUAUGACAAUUUACAGAGACAUAUUUAUACGAACAAUAAUAUU
rnacentral:lncRNA from 1 species